rnacentral:snRNA from 1 species
AUGGAAAAUUCCACACGUAACUACUUAAUACAGACUUUGUUUCAUGCACAAAAUUAUUGAAAAUACUGAGCCAGUGUUCACUUCAGCAACACAUAUGCUAAAAUCGGAAUGAUACAGAGAAGAUCAGCAUGACCCCUGUGCAAGGAGGUCGUGCAAAUUCACGAAGUGUUUCAUAUUUUU